UAUUUGUUUCCGAAUACCAUUCAUGUUGAUGAAUUUAGAAAUCAAUCUUUAUUUGCAGGAGAAAGAGAAAAUGAGAAUCUGUUAAAAUACUAGCGCCAAGGAACUUGACUUGGGUAUCGACGAGCUAAAAGCACUCCUGUAUGAACGUGGAUGUAGAUGAGCCUUGCGUACAACAAAGAUUGUAUAAUUGUAGAUAAGUUAUGCCUAUGUCAUCUAUUUGUUUCCAUGUAUGAUUCACAGUGAUGCCUUUAGA